GGCAUUCGCUUCAUGGGGGAUAGGGGUGGCGGACGGGUGAGUAACGCGUAAGUACUUACCCUUAGGUGGGGAACAACAGUUGGAAACGACUGCUAAUACCGCAUAUGCUGAGGAGCAAAAAGAGGAAUCUGCCUAGGGAGGGGCUUGCGUCUGAUUAUGCUAGUUGGUGAGGUAAUGGCUUACCAAGGCUACGAUCAGUAGCUGGUCUGAGAGGAUGAUCAGCCACACUGGGACUGAGACACGGCCCAGACUCCUACGGGAGGCAGCAGUGGGGAAUUUUCCGCAAUGGGCGAAAGCCUGACGAAGCAACGCCGCGUGGAGGAAGAAAGCUUACGGGUUGUAAACUCCUUUUCUCAGAGAAGAAAAAAUGACGGUAUCUGAGGAAUAAGCAUCGGCUAACUCUGUGCCAGCAGCCGCGGUAAUACAGAGGAUGCAAGCGUUAUCCGGAAUGAUUGGGCGUAAAGCGUCUGUAGGUUGUUUAUUAAGUCCGCUGUUAAAUCCCACGGCUUAACCAUGGACAGGCGGCGGAAACUAUUAAACUAGAGUACGGUAGGGGCAGAGGGAAUUUCCGGUGGAGCGGUGAAAUGCGUAAAUAUCGGAAAGAACACCCAAGGCGAAGGCACUUUGCUGGGCCGAAACUGACACUGAGAGACGAAAGCUAGGGGAGCAAAUGGGAUUAGAUACCCCAGUAGUCCUAGCCGUAAACGAUGGAUACUGAGCGCUGCGCGUAUCAACCCGUGCAGUGCUUUAGCUAACGCGUUAAGUAUCCCGCCUGGGGAGUACGCUCGAAAG
rnacentral:rRNA from 1 species